rnacentral:rRNA from 1 species
UACGUAGGGUGCGAGCGUUAAUCGGAAUUACUGGGCGUAAAGCGUGCGCAGGCGGUUCGUUGUGUCGGCGGUGAAAGCCCCGGGCUCAACCUGGGAAUGGCCGUUGAAACUGGCGAACUGGAGUGUGGCAGAGGGGGGUGGAAUUCCGCGUGUAGCAGUGAAAUGCGUAGAGAUGCGGCGGAACACCGAUGGCGAAGGCAGCCCCCUGGGCUGAGAUUGACGCUCAGGCACGAAAGCGUGGGGAGCAAACAGG